rnacentral:tRNA from 1 species
UCCCUGGUGGCUUAGUGGUUAGGGUUCUGGGUUUUCACUACCAUUGCUCAGGUUCAGUCCCUGCCCAGGGAA